ACUUACAAAUAAAUAGCUAGGUGUCUUAUUCUUGAUGAAAGGAUAUGAUGUGAUAGCUAGGUUUAAGAAGUGAAAUGUUAAAACAAAAGCCAUUCAUCUUUAAAGCUCAGCAGCGUUUAAAGACACAUUUUGAGCUAUAAUUCACAAGAACAACU